AUGGUGAAGGUGAAGGCCAGAGUGAACAGAUUUGGCCGUACUGGGUGCCUGGUCACCAAGGCUGCUUUUAACUCCGGCCAAGUGGAUAUUGUCACCAUCAAUGACCUCUGCUUGACCUCAAUUACAAGGUCUACAUGUUUCUGUACGACUCCACCCAUGGCAAGUUCCAUGGCAUUGUCAAGGUUGAGAACAGGAAGCUUGUCAUCAAUGGAAAUCCCAUCACCAUCUUCCAGGGGAAAGAUCUCACCAAAAUCAAAUGGGGCGAUGCUGUCACUGAUUAUGUAGUGGAGUCCACCAGUGUCUUCACUACUUUGGGAAAGCCUGGGGCUCACGGGGGGAGCCAAAAGGGUCACCAUCUCUGUCCUCUCCGCCGACACCCCCAUGUUUGUGAUGGGUGUAAGCCAUGAGAAGUACCAGAACAACUUCACGUUUGUCAGCAAUGCCUCCUGCAACACCAACUGCUUAGCUCCCCUGGCCAAGGAUAUCCAUGACAACUUUGGCAUCAUGGAGGGACUCAUGGCCAUCAUUCAUACUAUCACUGCCACCCUGAAGACUGUGGAUGGCCCCUCUGGGAAGCUGUGGUGCAACAGCCAUGGGGCCCUCCAGAACAACAUCCCUGCAUCCACCAGAGCUGUCAAGGCCACGGGCAAGGUCAUUCUCGAGCUGAACAGGAGGUUUACGGGCAUGGCCUUCUGUAUCCCCACUGCCAGUGUGUGUGUUGUGGAUCUGGCCUGGCAUCUGGAGAAGCCUGCCAAAUAGAAUGACAUUAAGAAGGUGCUGAUCAGGCAUCCGAUAGCCCCCUCAAAGGCAUCCUGGGCUACACCAAGCACCAGGUUGUGCUCUCUGACUUUAACAGUACCACCCACUCUUCCACCUUUGAUGUUGGGGCUGGCAUUGCCCUCUAUGACCACUUUGUCAAGCUCAUCUCUUGGUAUGAUAAUGAGUUUGGCUACAGCAACAAGGUGGUGGGCCUCAUAGCCCACAUGACCUCCAAGGAGUAAAAGCCCCUGGACCACCAGCCUCAGCAAGAGCAUGAGAGGAAGAGAGAAGCCCUCAAAUGCUGGCUGGGGAGUCCCUGCCACACUCAGUCCCCAACCACACUGAGAAUCUCCCCUUCUCACAGUAUCUAUGCAGACUCCCUGAAGAAUGGGAGAGGGGACCUAGGGAGCCCCACCUCAUCAUGUACCAUCAAUAAAGUCCCUGUACUC